rnacentral:sRNA from 1 species
GGGUAAUUACCCGCUAGUGGUAGAAUAGUACCCUGCCACGGUACAGACCCGGGUUCGAUUCCCGGCUGGUGCAUCCUUGCAAUGAAGAUACUGCGC